rnacentral:misc_RNA from 1 species
GAUGAAGAACGUAGCGAAAUGCGAUAAGUAAUGCGAAUUGCAGAAUCCGUGAGUCAUCGAAUCUUUGAACGCAUAUUGCGCCCUUUGGCAUUCCGAAGGGCAUGCCUGUUCGAGCGUCAUUAUCACCCCUCAAGCCCCCCUGGCUUGGUGUUGGACGGUUUUGGUGGGACGUGCAGCCUCUCACCCCUCCUAAAGACAAUGACGGCGGCGUCGUUGGAACCCCCGGUACACUGAGCUUCUUAACUGAGCACGUACUGGAUGCGGGUACGCGAUGCACGGUCUGCCUCCCCUUUAGGGAGAACUUUUUCUUAAGGUUGACCUCGGAUCAGGUAGGAAUACCCGCUGAACUUAAGCAUAUCAAUAAGCGGAGGA